AGUGAACGCUGGCGGUAGGCCUAACACAUGCAAGUCGAACGGCAGCAUAGUAAGAGCUUGCUCUUACCGGUGGCGAGUGGCGGACGGGUGAGGCAUACAUCGGCUACUUCUUUUACGUGGGUGAUAACGUAAGGCCACUUACGCUAAUACCGCAUAUGACCUACGGGUGAAAUCAGGAGAUCUUCGGGCCUUGCGUGAUUGAUUGAGCCGAUGUCGGAUUAGCUAGUUGGCGGGGUAAAGGCCCACCAAGGCAACGAUCCGUAGCUGGUCUGAGAGGAUGAUCAGCCACACUGGAACUGAGACACGGUCCAGACUCCUACGGGAGGCAGCAGUGGGGAAUAUUGGACAAUGGGCGCAAGCCUGAUCCAGCCAUACCGCGUGGGUGAAGAAGGCCUUCGGGUUGUAAAGCCCUUUUGUUGGGAAAGAAAAGCAGCAGGUUAAUACCCCGCUGUUCUGACGGUACCCAAAGAAUAAGCACCGGCUAACUUCGUG
rnacentral:rRNA from 1 species